CCUACGGGCGGCAGCAGUGGGGAAUAUUGCACAAUGGGGGAAACCCUGAUGCAGCGACGCCGCGUGAGUGAAGAAGUCUUUCGGUAUGUAAAGCUCUAUCAGCAGGGAAGAAAAUGACGGUACCUGUUUAAGAAGCCCUGGCUAACUACGUGCCAGCAGCCGCGGUAAUACGCCGGGCGCAAGCGUUAUCCGGAUGUACUGGUGGUAAAGGGAGCGUAGACGGCUGCGCAAGUCUGAAGUGAAAUGCCGGGGCUUAACCCCGGAACUGCAUUGGAUACUGUGCAGCUAGAGUGCAGGAGAGGUGAGUGGAAUUCCUAGUGUAGCGGUGAAAUGCGUAGAUAUUAGGAGGAACACCAGUGGCGAAGGCAGCUUACUGGGCUGUAACUGACGUUGAGGCGCGAAAGCGUGGGGAGCAAACAGGAUUAGAUACCCGUGUAGUC
rnacentral:rRNA from 1 species